AGGACGAACGCUGGCGGCGUGCUUAACACAUGCAAGUCGAACGGAAAGGCCCGCUUGCGGGUACUCGAGUGGCGAACGGGUGAGUAACACGUGGGCAACCUGCCCUCAGCUUCGGGAUAACACUUGGAAACAGGUGCUAAUACCGGAUAAUAACCUUUCAUCGCAUGGUGUGGGGUUCAAAGUUUUUCGGCUGGGGAUGGGCCCGCGGCCUAUCAGCUUGUUGGUGGGGUAAUGGCCUACCAAGGCGACGACGGGUAGCCGGCCUGAGAGGGCGACCGGCCACACUGGGACUGAGACACGGCCCAGACUCCUACGGGAGGCAGCAGUGGGGAAUAUUGCGCAAUGGGCGAAAGCCUGACGCAGCGACGCCGCGUGAGGGAUGACGGCCUUCGGGUUGUAAACCUCUUUCGGCAGGGAUGAAGCCUUCGGGUGACAGUACCUGCAAAAGAGCACCGGCUAACUACGCGCCAGCAGCCGC
rnacentral:rRNA from 1 species